UCUGCUGCCAUCCUUAUGUUAUCAUUCUCGUUAGUCACUAACUUGUUUAUAACUUUAUAUGAGCAAUUGCUAUGGGAUUACAAUGUUUUGAAUCGAUAAUAGUGCCAACUGGUGAAAUAAGAACUCACUGUAAUCCUCUCCCAUGUUAGGUUCUGUAGUUUGCUAUCUUUGUUACAACUUACAAGAAGCUUUUAUUAUACAGUACUUCUGAUACUAUAGGCAUGGUCAGUUUUAGCAUGUGAAAUUUUAGUUAGUUAUAAUUAUCUCAGCAUCCCAGCCUUGUAAGCAAAGUUUGUGGGCUGCAUCACCUGAUGCUGUGCCCUUUCUAGGAAUGCAUCUGAAGGAACACUAUUAUCUUUCUUUUUAACUGUCCAAGUCCAUACACCUUAGAUUCCCUGCAGCAAAGAAAUGUUACAGCCUUGCAUUGUACACUCUCCUGAUAGUGAUUCCUGAGCUACUUUUCAUCAAUGAUUCAUUGAAAAUGUGAAGCCUUUAUUCUUCCGUCCUAGGCUUUGUCAUGUUUGAAGGAAAUCAUUUAUGAUAAGUAGCUCAGGAUGCUGUGCCAAGAAAUUUACAGAAUCACCAUCCUUUUUCUUGCUUCCCAUCUUCUCCAUAAUUUGAUUCCUUCUUCCGAUCUCUUCCGUCUCCAUUAUGCUGUCUUGACUCUUCGAUACUAGUAUUACUUUUGAUUCAUCCUCUUAAUCUUGCUAAUGUGGAAGUAACUGGUAUUACCAUGGUGCUACCAUCUUCACAAGUAGGGGUUUGGUUGAUGUGUCAAGACAUCGUCUUAGUUGCCAUGGCUGUGGUAGGCAAUAUGAUUGCUGCUUGAAUUAUGAUCUUAUGAAGAAUGAAGCCCCAAUGCCUGUGCUAGAUCCACAAUGCCAUUCAGUGUUGCAGGCCAUGACACUUCUCGUGAUUGAGUGGCCUGUGUCAAAGUAAUGGAUACAUGCAUAUAGCUUGUCUCUUCAUGUUUUUACCAACAUAAUUUUUGUUGAGUUGAUGGCAGUGAUUAGAUCAUACCCGCGCUUCUGAUUAAUCCAUGAAGCACAAGGGAAAAUAAUGGUUGAAUUU